rnacentral:rRNA from 1 species
CCUACGGAGCGCAGCAGUGGGGAAUAUUGGACAAUGGGCGAAAGCCUGAUCCAGCCAUGCCGCGUGUGUGAAGAAGGCCUUCGGGUUGUAAAGCACUUUCAGUGGGGAAGAAAGCCUUGGGGCUAAUACCCUCGAGGAAGGACAUCACCCACAGAAGAAGCACCGGCUAACUCCGUGCCAGCAGCCGCGGUAAUACGGAGGGUGCGAGCGUUAAUCGGAAUUACUGGGCGUAAAGCGCGCGUAGGCGGUCUGAUAAGCCGGUUGUGAAAGCCCCGGGCUCAACCUGGGAACGGCAUCCGGAACUGUCAGGCUAGAGUGCAGGAGAGGAAGGUAGAAUUCCCGGUGUAGCGGUGAAAUGCGUAGAGAUCGGGAGGAAUACCAGUGGCGAAGGCGGCCUUCUGGACUGACACUGACGCUGAGGUGCGAAAGCGUGGGUAGCAAACAGGAUUAGAUACCCGUGUAGUC